rnacentral:rRNA from 1 species
AUUGAACGCUGGCGGAAUGCUUUACACAUGCAAGUCGAACGGCAGCACGGACUUCGGUCUGGUGGCGAGUGGCGAACGGGUGAGUAAUGUAUCGGAACGUGCCCAGUCGUGGGGGAUAACGUAGUGAAAAUUACGCUAAUACCGCAUACGAUCUAUGGAUGAAAGCGGGGGAUCGCAAGACCUCGCGCGAUUGGAGCGGCCGAUAUCAGAUUAGGUAGUUGGUGGGGUAAAGGCCCACCAAGCCAACGAUCUGUAGCUGGGCUGAGAGGACGAACAGCCACACUGGAACUGAGACACGGUCCAGACUCCUACGGGAGGCAGCAGUGGGGAAUUUUGGACAAUGGGCGAAAGCCUGAGCCAGCCAUUCCGCGUGCAGGAUGAAGGCCCUCGGGUUGUAAACUGCUUUUGUACAGAACGAAAAGGUUUCUACUAAUACUAGGAGCUCAUGACGGUACUGUAAGAAUAAGCACCGGCUAACUACGUGCCAGCCGCCGCGGUAA